UUCAUCCGACUAUUUUACAUUCUGAAUUUCUGACUUGUUACGUUCCCAGAAAUUGAACAGUCGCAAAGAAAAAAUAUAAAGGAUCCAGUUCAUAACCCAUCUCUUGACAUCACUGCAAGCAAGAUGCCAAACAACAAGAUUUGUGUUGAUAUCAUGGCUACAACUUCAUCUCGUUUGGACAUAGAGAAGUUCAAUGGAAUGGGUUAUGAGUUGUGGAAGCUGAAAAUGGAAGAUCUCCUUGAAGAAUGAGAUCAGCGAUGGCUGUAACAAAUAAAGGGAAAUCUAAUAAACUUUCUAGUGAAAACUAUAGAGGAGGAGCAUUUAUCGAUUUCAAUAUCCUUCUCACAAAUGUCGAUUGAUAUAUAUAUAUAUAUGCUCAUCAAGCAAUACCUUGACCGGUCAUGUCUAUUAGACAUGAUCGAUCAAGAUAUUACUUGAUCACACCUUUCAAUUAUCAUUGUAUUUACCGAUCGGUGUAUUUAACAAGUCACUCGAUACUAAUCAGCGUGUAUACCAUAAGCAAAUCACCUGAUACUAAUCGGCGUGUAUACCAUAAGCAAGUCAACCGAUAACAAUCGGUGUAUAUAGUUAUAAACUAUACCCGAUAACAAUUGUUGUUCAUACGAUUCAAUGUGAAUUGAUACCAAUCGGUAUUCUGUGCUA